GGACCUGAUGAGGUUGAAGUACAUGACACGCAAGACCCUGAAAAUAGGAAUCGAGGGCGGGGUAUUGGUGAGGACAUCAACUCGAUAGCAAACGGCGGACAGGGGAGGUUUCGGCUGGCAGUCAGGUGUAGGGUCAAGGAGCCAAAGGCCACUGAGAACACUGAUCCCAAUGUGGAGAAGGCUCCAAAGGCAGCGAAGGUUGGAGCCAAGAAGACUAAGGACAAGGAAGCCGAAGCUGAGAAGAAAAAGGCUACAGCCAAAAAGCAGAAGGAGAAACCUUCAGAGG